rnacentral:rRNA from 1 species
AACGAACGCUGGCGGCAGGCUUAACACAUGCAAGUCGAACGCGUCCUUCGGGACGAGUGGCAGACGGGUGAGUAACGCGUGGGAACGUACCCUUUGGUUCGGAACAACUCCGGGAAACUGGAGCUAAUACCGGAUAAGCCCUUCGGGGGAAAGAUUUAUCGCCAGAGGAUCGGCCCGCGUUAGAUUAGCUAGUUGGUGAGGUAAUGGCUCACCAAGGCUACGAUCUAUAGCUGGUCUGAGAGGAUGAUCAGCCACACUGGGACUGAGACACGGCCCAGACUCUUACGGGAGGCAGCAGUGGGGAAUCUUGGACAAUGGGCGAAAGCCUGAUCCAGCCAUGCCGCGUGAAUGAUGAAGGCCCUAGGGUUGUAAAAUUCUUUCGACGGGGAAGAUAAUGACGGUACCCGUAGAAGAAGCUCCGGCUAACUUCGUGCCAGCCGCCGCAGUAAUAC